rnacentral:misc_RNA from 1 species
AAACUUUCGCAAUGUAUCUCGUGGCUCUCGCAUCGAUUAAGAACGCAGCGAAAUGCGAUAAGUAAUGUGAAUUGCAGAAUUCAGUGAAUCAUCGAAUCUUUGAACGCACCUUGCGCUCCUUGGUAUUCCGAGGAGCAUGCCUGUUUGAGUGUCAUUAAUAUAUAUCAACCUCUUCAGGUUUUUACUUGUCGAGUGUUUGGAUGUGGGGGGUCUUUUUUGCUGGUCUCUUUUGAGGUCGGCUCCCCUAAAAUGCAUUAGCAGAACAAUUUGUUGACCCGUUCAUUGGUGUGAUAACUAUCUACGCUUUUGACGUGAAACAGGGUUCAGCUUCUAACAGUCCAUUGACUUGGACAAUUUUCAUUAAUGUGACCUCAAAUCAGGUAGGACUACCCGCUGAACUUAAGCAUAUCAAUAAGCGGAGGCU